AUUGAACGCUGGCGGUAUGCCUUACACAUGCAAGUCGAGCGGCAGCACAGUAGGAGCUCGCUCGUACGGGGGGCGACGGGCGGGCGAGUGAGGGGUACAUAGGAACCUACUGUUGCUAGGGGAACAACGGAGGGAAACUUACGCUAAUACCGCAGACGACCUACGGGUGAAAGCUGCGGAUCUUCGGACCUUGCGCGACUGAAGGAGCCGAUGUCGGAUUAGCUAGUUGGCGGGGUAAAGGCACACCAAGGCGACGAUCCGUAGCUGGUCUGAGAGGAUGAUCAGCCACACUGGAACUGAGACACGGUCCAGACUCCUACGGGAGGCAGCAGUGGGGAAUAUUGGACAAUGGGCGCAAGCCUGAUCCAGCCAUACCGCGUGGGUGAAGAAGGCCUUCGGGUUGUAAAGCCCUUUUGUUGGGAAAGAAAAGCGGCAGGUUAAUACCCCGCUGUUCUGACGGUACCCAAAGAAUAAGCACCGGCUAACUUCGUG
rnacentral:rRNA from 1 species